rnacentral:rRNA from 1 species
CCUACGGGAGGCAGCAGUGGGGAAUAUUGGACAAUGGGGGCAACCCUGAUCCAGCCAUGCCGCGUGUGUGAAGAAGGCCCUCGGGUUGUAAAGCACUUUCAGUGAGGAAGAACGCCUGGUGGUUAAUACCCAUCAGGAAAGACAUCACUCACAGAAGAAGCACCGGCUAACUCCGUGCCAGCAGCCGCGGUAAUACGGAGGGUGCGAGCGUUAAUCGGAAUUACUGGGCGUAAAGCGCGCGUAGGUGGCUUGAUAAGCCGGUUGUGAAAGCCCCGGGCUCAACCUGGGAACGGCAUCCGGAACUGUCAAGCUAGAGUGCAGGAGAGGAAGGUAGAAUUCCUGGUGUAGCGUUGAAAUGCGUAGAGAUCGGGAGGAAUACCAGUGGCGAAGGCGGCCUUCUGGACUGACACUGACACUGAGGUGCGAAAGCGUGGGUAGCAAACAGGAUUAGAUACCCUAGUAGUC